UCGAUGGCCGCGCCGUGAGCGCUCUCGGCGGGAUCGGCCGGCCACUGACCACACCUCUUACUUUACGAGCACCUUUCGUUCUCCUUCGGCGGGGCGACCCGCCGCUGGAACCUCAUCACGAACCUUUUUUUGCAUCUAGCAUUACCUGUUCUGAUAAAUAUAAUCGUUACAACUUUCAACAAUGGAUCUCUUGGCUCUGGCAUCGAUGAAGAACGCAGCGAAAUGCGAUAAGUAGUGUGAAUUGCAGAAUUCAGUGAAUCAUCGAAUCUUUGAACGCACAUUGCGCCCCUUGGUAUUCCAUGGGGCAUGCCUGUUCGAGCGUCAUCUACACCCUCAAGCUCUGCUUGGUGUUGGGCGUCUGUCCCGCCUCUGCGCGCGGACUCGCCCCAAAGGCAUUGGCAGCGGUCCACGGCCCCUCUCGCGCAGCACAUUGCGCUUCUCGAGGCGGCCCGGCCCGCGUCCACGAAGCCCACAUUACCGUCUUUGACCUCGGAUCAGGUAGGGAUACCCGCUGAACUUAAGCAUAUCAAUAAGGCGAGAGGA
rnacentral:rRNA from 1 species